UGCAAGGACUAGAUCAUAAUCAUUUUUUCUUAACUCACCAAAGCAUUGGCACAAUAUAUUGAACAUAGUAAGUCUGGUAAAUACUGUUUAAGAAUGAAUUGCCUUAAAUUCUCACUAAGGUGUAAAGGACUGAUUGUCAUACCUCCCAGAAUACAUAAGAAAAAACUUUCUUUCCCCCAGUAGCAACAUUGGCUCUCACUGGUCCAUGGAAGGAAAAGACAAUUCUUGAACCUUCCAGAAAAUCCUACAGGAUGGAUAGCCUGAACAGCAUUCAGGACAAAACCCAUCAGAAGGAAAGGAAGGAUCAUCUUCUAAGAAAAUAUGACUGCCUCUGAAGCCAAAUUAUGUCAAGAUAUAAGAUCAGGAAUGUCCAGAUGCUGUUUAUCCCAUCUUAAUUAAAUUUGGACUUCUUUGGGGGGAAAAAGUACCUCAGUUCCAGGAAAAGUUAUUUGGACUCUGAGGCUGUUUGGACUCUGUUUUAUGAAAAUAAACAUUUUAAUCAAGAUACCAUUAUUCCUAGAUUUUCACUGCGAAGGUAUUUUCUGAAGCAAACCCUCUUGAGCCAAUAUAUGUUCUUAAUAAUAUUCUAUUCAAUGCUGCC